rnacentral:rRNA from 1 species
CAUGUCUUUUUGAUUAUAAUUUAAAGUCUGACCUGCCCUAUGAUAAUUUUAUUAAAUGGCCGCGAUAAUUUGAUCGUGCAAAGGUAGCAUAAUAAUUAGUUUUUUAAUUGGGAACUGGUAUGAAAGGUCGAACGAGAAAAAGACUGUCUCAAUUUAAAUUUAAUUAGAAUUUUAUUUUUAAGUAAGAAAGCUUAAAUGUAUUUAAAAGACGAGAAGACCCUAUAGAGUUUUAUAUUUAAUUAAAUUUUUAAAAUUUUAGAAUUUUAUAUUUAGUUUUUUUAUUAAAUAUUUGGUUGGGGCGAUUAGAAAAUUAAAUGAACUUUUCUUCAUUUUUUACAUUGAUAUAUGAUUAAUUGAUCCAUUUUUAAUGAUUAAAAGAUUAAAUUACCUUAGGGAUAACAGCGUAAUUUUUUUUGAGAGUUCUUAUCGAAAAAAAAGUUUGCGACC